GAUGAGGAAAGAAAGAAGCGGAGGGAGUGCAUGUCACCUUGUUCCUAAAAUACUAACACACACAACCUUUUGCUGGAGCUUUUAAGAUGGACUGAAUGAAGCUACAAAGGAUUAAAUUAAGCUAGAACGGAACCCGUUUAUGUUUAAUAAAAAAAACGCCAUGAAAGCUACGGCAUAUAUUCGUUCCCUUCCCAUUAUUUUAUCACAAGUGUUCAGCUAAGGAGGUAGCAAGAAGGCACGGGCGAGUGGAAAGGAGGAGAAAGAGAAAAAAUAAAAUAGCAUAAGAGGGAUGGGAUUGAUGGAGGCCAGAGGGAAGGGGGGGUCAGUAUUAGGAGAAAGAAAAGCUGAGCCUCCCGAGCUCGACCCUUUUUACGACCCCUGACCCCAUGGCCGGGACACGGAGAAGGGGGGGUAGGAGCAUUAGAGAGGGGCCCGUCCUGGCUUCUCUACACGUGUCUCAUUCUUCUGCAGUCUCCUCCUUUUUACCCAACUUUCCUUCCUCUGUUCUCGUCCUUCGGACCUUCAAGGCUUCAACCCAAUUUAUUUAUAUCGCGAUUUACCGUUGUCACUAGUUAAUAUCCAUCACGUGACCUGGCCUGAUAAUAAUGUCACGACCCCAGGUAAAGAAAACAGAGAGAGAGAGAGAGAGAGUUAACGAAGGUUACACUUCAAUAUUAAGUAGGAGAAAGAAGGCGGAGAGAGAAGGGAAUAGAGAGGUAAUUGAAGGGAAAAAUGGUCAGGGAGGAGGGCCGAAAGCUGAGGGCUUAGCUUUUAACAACAGCAGGGUAGGCGGCAGCGGCAGCAGCAGAGAGUGGCAGUGAGACAGAAGCCUGCGAGGAAAGAAACAAAGAGAGAGAGAGAGAGAGAGAGAGAGAGAGAGAGAGNNN
rnacentral:lncRNA from 1 species